AAACGAUAAUAGCAAUUCUGCCGAAAGACAGAAUACGCAAAGCCAAGGGUCUAAAUCCAUUUUUGGACAUGACAGCCGGUUGCCGAC
rnacentral:ncRNA from 1 species